GUCCGCCUCCACUGCCUCCCUAACCCCACAAUCCAUCUCGCCGCGGCGGCGGCGGCGGCCGAGACCGGCGGCGAGCGGCGGGGGCGGGGGCGGCGUCAGCCAUGGUGCGCGUUAGCUUCUAUCGCAACUAUGGCAAGACUUUCAAGAAACCAAGGCGUCCAUACGAGAAAGAGCGUCCUGAUGCUGAGCUGAAGCUGUAUGGUGAGUAUGGCCUCAGGUCCAAGUGUGAGCUGUGGCGUGUGCAGUAAGCCCUAAGCCCUAUCCGCAAUGCUGCAAGGGAGCUGCUCACCCUUGAUGAGAAGAACCCCCGACGUAUCUUUGAGGGCGAGGCUCUCCUGCGCCACAUGAACCGCUAUGGUCUCCUUGGUGAGGGCCAGAACAAGCUUGAUUACGUGCUUGCGCUCACCGUUGAGAACUUCCUUCAGUGCCGCCUCCAGACCAUUGUCUUCAAGAACGGCACGGUGAAAUCCAUUCAUCAUGAUCAUGUACUCAUCAGGCAACACCACAUCAGAGUGGGAAGGCAGCUUGUCAACAUCCCCUUAUUCAUGGUGAGACUUGAUUAGAGAAGCACAUCGACUUCUCCCUUACCAGCCCACUGGCGGUGAGCCUGGAAGGGUCAAAGAGAAAGAACCAGAAGGAGGCCUCUGGUGGUGAUGGUGAUGGUGAUGGUGAUGAAGAGGAAGAGUGAAUAUGUGAUGUCAGCUCGGUUUUGUUAUAGGACCUAAUUUUGCGGGAACUUGUCUUAUUAGGGACCUAAUUUUUGUUACAUGAGUAGAAAACAAAAAUUAGCCACCGAGGGUUGUCAAAAAUUGUUGUUUGCGCUGUUGAAAUUUUGAUUUGAAGUUUAUCUCCUCAUGAACAUGUGAAUUCAGUGUACCCAGGAAAUAUAUCCCAGGUCUCACAAGCUAAUACUGUUGGGAAUAUUUGAAGUGUUGGGUACCUUGUCUUUUGAAAACUGGCUUUGAUUAUACUAAAGCGGAUACUAAAUCUGGCCUCAAAA